GGCAAUAGAGUGAGACUCAAGUCUCAAAAAUAAAAAAAUAAAUAAAAGAAGGAGUAAAGCAACAAGAACAUUUAAGGUCCUGUCCUUUCUCCAGCUCACUGAAGAGGAUUCUGGCUUGGUCUCCUGUCUCAUUCCUUCCUCUGCUCUCUGAAGAUUCAGACUCUAUCUUUGGAGUCUAUAAAAUAACAUGUGAGAAGCAGAAGAGAAACUAGGAAAGAAAGGAAUGCAGGAGAAGAAAGGGAUAUGGGGGAAGAGAAAAGAAAGAAAGAACAGCUGCUAUGUGAUCAAAGUGUAUGGAAAAGGAUAUUUUAAAAGAUGGCAUGGACCCCUUUCAUGGUUCUUGGUUCUUGAAAUAUACAAGCAGAAGAGUCCUUUUGAAAUUACUCCUUGGUGGACCUGACACCUCUCGAGGAUUGAGCCAUAUGGGUCACUAUUUUCUAUGGACAUAUUUACAACUGUCAAUAGAAAUCAGUUGAGUCCUGUACUCUUCACAUAGACACCAUGUUUGCCAGUUUCCCUGUUAAAUAUGUUAGCCAUUUAGAGAUAUCGAACCUGCAUAUCACUGGUUUUCCUGUUAUACUAGAAAUCAAGUAAUUUGUGUCCCAUAGACUUUUGCAAAUUAAAAAAAAAAUUUGUUAGUCGCUGUGUUGCCCAGGCUGGAGUGCAGUGGUGCGAUCAUAGCCCAUUGCAGCUUCAAAUUCCUGCGCUCGGCAGCCGCCAGCAGCUACUGCAAGGCAAAAGCCUGAGUGGACCUCUCUUUUGAAACUGCUGCUCUCUCACUUCUCAGACAUCACUGAGAGCUCAGCACCCAGGCUGAGCUCUGCACCAUUCAGAAGAAUGGAAGCUGAUGCAUCUGUUGACAUGUUUUCCAAAGUCCUGAAGAAUCAGCUGCUUCAGACUACCAAACUAGUGGAAGAACAUUUGGAUUCUGAAAUUCAAAAACUGGAUCAGACGGAUGAGGAUGAAUUGGAAUGCCUUAAAGAAAAGAGACUUGAGGCACUAAGGAAAGCUCAACAGCAGAAACAAGAAUGGCUUUCUAAAGGACAUGGGGAAUAUAGAGAAAUCCCUAGUGAAAGAGACUUUUUUCAAGAAGUCAAGGAGAGUAAAAAGGUGGUUUGCCAUUUCUACAGAGACUUCGCAUUCAGAUGUAAAAUACUAGACACACAUCUGGCCAUAUUGUCCAAGAAACACCUCGAGACCAAAUUUUUGAAGCUGAAUGUGGAAGAAGCACCUUUCCUUUGUGAGAGACUGCGUAUCAAAGUCAUUCCCACACUAGCACUGGUAAAAGACGGGAAAACACAGGAUUAUGUUGUUGGGUUUACUGACCUAGGAAAUACAGAUGACUUCACCACAGAAAGUGUAGAAUGGAGGCUCGGUUGUUCUGACAUUCUUAAUUACAGUGGAAAUUUAAUGGAGACACCAUUUCAGAACCAAAAGAAAUUUGGAACAAACUUCACAAAGCUGGAAAAGAAAACUAUCUGAGGAAAGAAAUAUGAUUCAGACUCUGAUGAUGAUUAAAGCUCCGUAAUUCUUUGUAAAUUGGCCUUUUUUCCACUUCAGAUUUAAAUGUGUUUUUUAAAUUCUAUUAAUGUCUGUACAUUGGUCAUCUAAAUACUCAUAUUCUGAAGUUUGAUAUAGUUGUAUCACAUUGAAAGGCCAUCAUGUUUACGUUGAGGAAAACUUCUCAGUUCUUAAAUUAUCUGGGAAGGGUCUGGAUUCUCUAUUUUUGAGAUUGACUUGAUCACAAUGUGAUUCUUACAUCUUUAUACCAUUUACAAUUGUGGUUUUGAUCUACAGAGCUAGAAAUUCAAAAACUAUUCCAGGACUAAUUCUUAAUUGGCAUUAUUUAUACAAGAGAUCAAGUAACAUUUGCUGGCGCAGUACUGCACUUGUGAAUGAAUUAUAAACACUCUUCUGGAAUAUAUUUAAAUAAACAUUAAAGAACCGCUUAUUAAUUCUGGACACUGCAUGUUGAUGUUGAAUCAACUGAUGCCAGCAGAAAGCUAUUUUGAUUUGUGAACAUACUGCCUUAUUUAAAGGGUCCUGAUUGCUUGUAUUUUAAGACAUUCGUUAAAAAGAAAUCAGGAAACACUUUUGAAAUAACAGCAUAAGGAACUUCACUAUCUCUACUCAAUAAAACACCUGUAA